GAUGAACGCUGGCGGCGUGCCUAAUACAUGCAAGUCGAGCGAACGGACGAGAAGCUUGCUUCUCUGAUGUUAGCGGCGGACGGGUGAGUAACACGUGGAUAACCUACCUAUAAGACUGGGAUAACUUCGGGAAACCGGAGCUAAUACCGGAUAAUAUUUUGAACCGCAUGGUUCAAAAGUGAAAGACGGUCUUGCUGUCACUUAUAGAUGGAUCCGCGCUGCAUUAGCUAGUUGGUAAGGUAACGGCUUACCAAGGCAACGAUGCAUAGCCGACCUGAGAGGGGGGGGGGCCACACGGAAAGUGUGACCGGACCCAGACUCCAAGGGGAGGCAGCAGGGGGGAGUCUUCGGAAAGGGGCGAAAGCUUGACGGGACAAGGCGGCGGGGGGGAUAAGGGUCUUAGGAUAAUAAAACUAUUUUAUUGGGGAAAAAAAAAUGUGAAAGGAACGGUGCCCUCCUAGCGGGACCCUAAUAAGAAGGCCAGGCAUAACUCCGAC
rnacentral:rRNA from 1 species